rnacentral:rRNA from 1 species
AGCUCCAGUAGCGUAUACUAAAGUUGUUGCAGUUAAAAAGCUCGUAGUUGGAUUUCUAGAGGUUUUAUUGUGGUGCGCAUUCUUCGGAGUGAGGGCACCAACAAUGAAUCUCUUUUUCGCUGCGACCCUGUCCACCAUUAAUUUGGCUUGGGCAGUGUGUCCUUCAGCACUUUUACUUUGAGAAAAACAGUGUGCUCAAAGCAGGCGUUUCGCCUUGAAUGUGUUAGCAUGGGAUAAUAACAAAGACUGCGUGUCUACGUUGUUGGUUAUGGACGUGAAGUAAUGAAUGAUGGGAGCGGUUGGGGGCCUCGGUAUUCUAGAGGGAGAGGUGAAAUUCUUGGAUCUCUGGAAGACCACCUGCUGCGAAAGCGUUGGCCAAAGACGUCUCCGUCAAUCAAGA